rnacentral:rRNA from 1 species
UUAAGCGACUAAGCGUACACGGUGGAUGCCCUGGCAGUCAGAGGCGAUGAAGGACGUGCUAAUCUGCGAUAAGCGCCGGUAAGGUGAUAUGAACCGUUAUAACCGGCGAUUUCCGAAUGGGGAAACCCAGUGUGAUUCGUCACACUAUCAUUAACUGAAUCCAUAGGUUAAUGAGGCGAACCGGGGGAACUGAAACAUCUAAGUACCCCGAGGAAAAGAAAUCAACCGAGAUUCCCCCAGUAGCGGCGAGCGAACGGGGAGGAGCCCAGAGCCUGAAUCAGCAUGUGUGUUAGUGGAAGCGUCUGGAAAGGUGCGCGAUACAGGGUGACAGCCCCGUACACAAAAGCGCAUGUGCUGUGAGCUCGAUGAGUAGGGCGGGACACGUGGUAUCCUGUCUGAAUAUGGGGGGACCAUCCUCCAAGGCUAAAUACUCCUGACUGACCGAUAGUGAACCAGUACCGUGAGGGAAAGGCGAAAAGAACCCCGGCGAGGGGAGUGAAAAAGAACCUGAAACCGUGUACGUACAAGCAGUGGGAGCACAGGUUUACCUGUGUGACUGCGUACCUUUUGUAUAAUGGGUCAGCGACUUAUAUUCUGUAGCAAGGUUAACCGUAUAGGGGAGCCGUAGGGAAACCGAGUCUUAACCGGGCGUUAAGUUGCAGGGUAUAGACCCGAAACCCGGUGAUCUAGCCAUGGGCAGGUUGAAGGUUGGGUAACACUAACUGGAGGACCGAACCGACUAAUGUUGAAAAAUUAGCGGAUGACCUGUGGCUGGGGGUGAAAGGCCAAUCAAACCGGGAGAUAGCUGGUUCUCCCCGAAAGCUAUUUAGGUAGCGCCUCGUGAAUUCAUCUCCGGGGGUAGAGCACUGUUUCGGCUAGGGGGCCAUCCCGGCUUACCAACCCGAUGCAAACUGCGAAUACCGGAGAAUGUUAUCACGGGAGACACACGGCGGGUGCUAACGUCCGUCGUGAAGAGGGAAACAACCCAGACCGCCAGCUAAGGUCCCAAAGUCAUGGUUAAGUGGGAAACGAUGUGGGAAGGCCCAGACAGCCAGGAUGUUGGCUUAGAAGCAGCCAUCAUUUAAAGAAAGCGUAAUAGCUCACUGGUCGAGUCGGCCUGCGCGGAAGAUGUAACGGGGCUAAACCAUGCACCGAAGCUGCGGCAGCGAACGUAUCACUUAAAGCGAUUCACGGGUUACGAUUGACGGAGCGAAGCGACGUCAAAGCGUAUACAAAGUCGAGUCGGUUUAGGAUACGUUCGUUGGGUAGGGGAGCGUUCUGUAAGCCCGUGAAGGUGGCCUGUGAGGGUUGCUGGAGGUAUCAGAAGUGCGAAUGCUGACAUAAGUAACGAUAAAGCGGGUGAAAAGCCCGCUCGCCGGAAGACCAAGGGUUCCUGUCCAACGUUAAUCGGGGCAGGGUGAGUCGACCCCUAAGGCGAGGCCGAAAGGCGUAGUCGAUGGGAAACGGGUUAAUAUUCCCGUACUUGGUGUUACUGCGAAGGGGGGACGGAGAAGGCUAUGUUGGCCGGGCGACGGUUGUCCCGGUUUAAGCGUGUAGGUGUGUGUUCCAGGUAAAUCCGGUUCACUUUAACACUGAGGCGUGACGACGAGGCACUACGGUGCUGAAGCAACAAAUGCCCUGCUUCCAGGAAAAGCCUCUAAGCAUCAGGUAACAUCAAAUCGUACCCCAAACCGACACAGGUGGUCAGGUAGAGAAUACCAAGGCGCUUGAGAGAACUCGGGUGAAGGAACUAGGCAAAAUGGUGCCGUAACUUCGGGAGAAGGCACGCUGACACGUAGGUGAAGUGAUUUACUCAUGGAGCUGAAGUCAGUCGAAGAUACCAGCUGGCUGCAACUGUUUAUUAAAAACACAGCACUGUGCAAACACGAAAGUGGACGUAUACGGUGUGACGCCUGCCCGGUGCCGGAAGGUUAAUUGAUGGGGUCAGCGCAAGCGAAGCUCCUGAUCGAAGCCCCGGUAAACGGCGGCCGUAACUAUAACGGUCCUAAGGUAGCGAAAUUCCUUGUCGGGUAAGUUCCGACCUGCACGAAUGGCGUAAUGAUGGCCAGGCUGUCUCCACCCGAGACUCAGUGAAAUUGAACUCGCUGUGAAGAUGCAGUGUACCCGCGGCAAGACGGAAAGACCCCGUGAACCUUUACUAUAGCUUGACACUGAACAUUGAGCCUUGAUGUGUAGGAUAGGUGGGAGGCUUUGAAGUGUGGACGCCAGUCUGCAUGGAGCCGACCUUGAAAUACCACCCUUUAAUGUUUGAUGUUCUAACGUGGACCCGUAAUCCGGGUUGCGGACAGUGUCUGGUGGGUAGUUUGACUGGGGCGGUCUCCUCCUAAAGAGUAACGGAGGAGCACGAAGGUUGGCUAAUCCUGGUCGGACAUCAGGAGGUUAGUGCAAUGGCAUAAGCCAGCUUGACUGCGAGCGUGACGGCGCGAGCAGGUGCGAAAGCAGGUCAUAGUGAUCCGGUGGUUCUGAAUGGAAGGGCCAUCGCUCAACGGAUAAAAGGUACUCCGGGGAUAACAGGCUGAUACCGCCCAAGAGUUCAUAUCGACGGCGGUGUUUGGCACCUCGAUGUCGGCUCAUCACAUCCUGGGGCUGAAGUAGGUCCCAAGGGUAUGGCUGUUCGCCAUUUAAAGUGGUACGCGAGCUGGGUUUAGAACGUCGUGAGACAGUUCGGUCCCUAUCUGCCGUGGGCGCUGGAGAACUGAGGGGGGCUGCUCCUAGUACGAGAGGACCGGAGUGGACGCAUCACUGGUGUUCGGGUUGUCAUGCCAAUGGCACUGCCCGGUAGCUAAAUGCGGAAGAGAUAAGUGCUGAAAGCAUCUAAGCACGAAACUUGCCCCGAGAUGAGUUCUCCCUGAGACUUAGAGUCUCCUGAAGGAACGUUGAAGACGACGACGUUGAUAGGCCGGGUGUGUAAGCGCAGCGAUGCGUUGAGCUAACCGGUACUAAUGAACCGUGAGGCUUAACCU